rnacentral:rRNA from 1 species
UACAGAGGUCUCAAGCGUUGUUCGGAUUCAUUGGGCGUAAAGAGCGCGCAGGCGGCUGGUCAAGUCCGAUGUGAAAUCUCCCGGCUCAACUGGGAAACUGCAUCGGAAACUGAUCGGCUUGAAGGUGGGAGAGGGUAGUGGAAUUCCCGGUGUAGUGGUGAAAUGCGUAGAUAUCGGGAGGAACACCGGUGGCGAAGGCGGUUCUCUGGGCCUUACCUGACGCUGAGGAGCGAAAGCGUGGGGAGCGAACAGG